AGAGUUUGAUCCUGGCUCAGAACGAACGCUGGCGGCAGGCCUAACACAUGCAAGUCGAGCGCUCUCUUCGGAGGGAGCGGCGGACGGGUGAGUAACGCGUGGGAACGUGCCCUUCUCUAUGGAAUAGCCACUGGAAACGGUGAGUAAUACCAUAUACGCCCUUCGGGGGAAAGAUUUAUCGGAGAAGGAUCGGCCCGCGUUAGAUUAGGUAGUUGGUGGGGUAAUGGCCUACCAAGCCUACGAUCUAUAGCUGGUUUUAGAGGAUGAUCAGCCACACUGGGACUGAGACACGGCCCAGACUCCUACGGGAGGCAGCAGUGGGGAAUCUUAGACAAUGGGCGCAAGCCUGAUCUAGCCAUGCCGCGUGAGUGAUGAAGGCCUUAGGGUCGUAAAGCUCUUUCGCCAGAGAUGAUAAUGACAGUAUCUGGUAAAGAAACCCCGGCUAACUCCGUGCCAGCAGCCGCGGUAAUACGGAGGGGGUUAGCGUUGUUCGGAAUUACUGGGCGUAAAGCGCACGUAGGCGGAUUAGAAAGUUGGGGGUGAAAUCCCGGGGCUCAACCUCGGAACUGCCUCCAAAACUCCUAGUCUAGAGUUCGAGAGAGGUGAGUGGAAUUCCAAGUGUAGAGGUGAAAUUCGUAGAUAUUUGGAGGAACACCAGUGGCGAAGGCGGCUCACUGGCUCGAUACUGACGCUGAGGUGCGAAAGUGUGGGGAGCAAACAGGAUUAGAUACCCUGGUAGUCCACACCGUAAACGAUGAAUGCCAGUCGUCGGGUAGUAUACUGCUCGGUGACACACCUAACGGAUUAAGCAUUCCGCCUGGGGAGUACGGUCGCAGAUUAAACUCAAAGGAAUGACGG
rnacentral:rRNA from 1 species